rnacentral:rRNA from 1 species
GCAAGUCGAACGAACUCCUUCGGAGUUAGUGGCGGACGGGUGAGUAACACGUGGGAACGUGCCUUUAGGUUCGGAAUAACUCAGGGAAACUUGUGCUAAUACCGAAUGUGCCCUUCGGGGGAAAGAUUUAUCGCCUUUAGAGCGGCCCGCGUCUGAUUAGCUAGUUGGUAAGGUAAUGGCUUACCAAGGCUACGAUCAGUAGCUGGUCUGAGAGGAUGACCAGCCACAUUGGGACUGAGACACGGCCCAAACUCCUACGGGAGGCAGCAGUGGGGAAUCUUGCGCAAUGGGCGAAAGCCUGACGCAGCCAUGCCGCGUGUAUGAUGAAGGUCUUAGGAUUGUAAAAUACUUUCACCGGUGAAGAUAAUGACUGUAGCCGGAGAAGAAGCCCCGGCUAACUUCGUGCCAGCAGCCGCGGUAAUACGAAGGGGGCUAGCGUUGCUCGGAAUUACUGGGCGUAAAGGGAGCGUAGGCGGACAUUUAAGUCAGAGGUGAAAUCCCGGAGCUUAACUUCGGAACUGCCUUUGAUACUGGGUGUCUUGAGUGUGAGAGAGGUAUGUGGAACUCCGAGUGUAGAGGUGAAAUUCGUAGAUAUUCGGAAGAACACCAGUGGCGAAGGCGACAUACUGGCUCAUUACUGACGCUGAGGCUCGAAAGCGUGGGGAGCAAACAGGAUUAGAUACCCUGGUAGUCCACGCCGUAAAC